GACAUGCUAGUGGUAAUGAAGCGAAAGCUAAGUGACCCGCAAGGGAGCUAGCACAGGUGCUGCAUGGCUGUCGUCAGCUCGUGUCGUGAGAUGUUCGGUUAAGUCCGCUAACGAGCGCAACCCUCGCUGUGUGUUACAAGUGUCACACAGGACCGCCGGUCUUAAGCCGGAGGAAGGUGGGGAUGACGUCAAGUCAGCAUGGCCUUUAUGUCCAGGGCUACACACACGCUACAAUGGUCAGCACAAUAGGUAGCCAAGCCGCGAGGUGGAGCCAAUCCUCAAAGCUGGCCUCAGUUCAGAUCGCAGGCUGCAACCCGCCUGCGUGAAGCCGGAGUUGCUAGUAACCGCAGGUCAGCUAUACUGCGGUGAAUACGUUCCCGGGGCUU
rnacentral:rRNA from 1 species